rnacentral:lncRNA from 1 species
GUAGGUGAUUAAAAACUGAUUAAAAAUGUAGAGACGUCGUCGCCUCAAGGUCCCGCAACAACCACCGUAACACCUCAGCCCUGGCGGUCGCUCCUCCAUCAAUGCAAGUCGCGACUCUCCCUUCUUCCAUACCAACAAAAAAGUAAUAGCAGCAGCAGAAUAAGCAGUAACAAUUUCCAAGGGAACACACAAAAAGCCCCAAAGCAAAUCACCUUUUUCAAUCUGUCUACCCUUCACACACAACACAACACUCUCACUUUAUUCAAAACCAAAACUUCAACAACAACACAAAAAUGUUUGCAGACGAGAAUGGCCUCAAGGGAGACCCCGCCAUCAGAGUCGUUCCUCACUUCCCCAAGCAUGGUCCCUCUCUCUCUCUAAAUUUUCCAACUUUUUUUUCUUUCAUUUGCUCUCUCCUCUCCCUCUUCUUCAUGUUUUUAUAUUUUAUUGGAAACCUUUUUCUUCUUUUGUUGCUGCAGUUAGAACUUUUACCCAACAGAUCUGCAACCAUUCAUUUAGUUUUGUUUAUUUUUAAAGAGUGUGUUUUGGUGGAUUAAACUAAUGGGGGUGGUGAAAUUCGCAAGAAUAAUGUUCCAGGACAUAACGACAUUGUAAUUAAAAGCUACCUCAAUCACAGGCCUUGUUCGAACCUCACCUUCUGUGGCCAUCGAAAUAACCCCGGAGAAAGUCAAGUUCUUGUUUUUCUCUUGUUGAGCUUUCUCCUUCUCAAUUUGACCAUAAGCAUACCUUAAAAUUUGGCUUUGUAUGUGUAAAUUCUUGCCCUUUGGCAUCUGCUUUUUGAUGUUUUUAUCUCCAAUUUGUAGGUUGAAUCCUUCAUUGCUAUAUAUGUGGGUCAUCCUCAAGGGAAUUCAACAUUUUAGUAAGGUUGGUAGGUUCCUUUUUUUGCACGUCUGAAGCUGCAGACUGUUGCUCAUAGCUUGAAGAAUUUUGUACCGAUGGCAAAAACGUAUCUCCCAUACCACGUUUAGCUUGGUUACCAACCUUUAAGGUAUCUGAUUUCGCUGAUUUUUUUCGAGAAAAGGUUCGAGAUAAUUGCUCACCUAAUCCUCCCCCUUUACCUUUCUUAGCAAUAUCUUUUGCUAUUUUCCACCGUUCCCUAGCCUGCACAGUUUCCCUUACCUGUCUAGCAGCAGCUUCUCUAGAUUUUGCCUCUGCAACAUCCUUCCGCCAUAGCUCCCAAGGCCAUGGGAAAUCCCUAAUUCUCUUUUUUAUUUAAAUGAAUCCUAAUUUCCUUUUUAAUUACAAUUUAUGAACUGAUGGUCAUUACCAAUUUUUAAUCACAGCUUCCUGUUCUGUGUUUCCUGAAAGUUAAAUAUUGA